rnacentral:rRNA from 1 species
AGUUGCCAGCGGUUCGGCCGGGCACUCUAACGGGACUGCCCGCGAAAAGCGGGAGGAAGGAGGGGACGACGUCUGGUCAGCAUGGCCCUUACGGCCUGGGCGACACACGUGCUACAAUGCCCACUACAAAGCGAGGCCACCCGGCAACGGGGAGCUAAUCGCAAAAAGGUGGGCCCAGUUCGGAUUGGGGUCUGCAACCCGACCCCAUGAAGCCGGAAUCGCUAGUAAUCGCGGAUCAGCCAUGCCGCGGUGAAUACGUUCCCGGGCCUU